UUUAAAAUAAAGUUUGCCCCAGGCAUAUGCCUUCAAGCAUUUUCGAGAGUUAGAUUAAAUUUUUUUUUAAUAACUAAAAGGAAAAGUGUAGCUCUAUGCUUGCAUAUAUUGCAGUUUUGGCGCUUUUGAAUGUAUGUUCUUGAGUUAAGUCCUAAAACAGGACAGGUGAAUUGAAAAAAUGGACUUUAUAGUGGCGAUUCUGAAUUUCAACGCCUCUUAAGGUAAUUUGAUGUAUGUUCUUGACUCAAGUCCUAAUAAGACUUGUAACAUGAAAAUAAAUUGGACUCUAUAUUAGUGUUUGCGAAUGGUGAUUAAUUUUAAUUUAAUAUGAUUUAGCUGAUGUAGAUGAAGGGUGCUUAUCCUUUUAAUUUUUUGGAUAAUUCAUAGAGGAUGAUUAACCAAUAACUUUCUUAUACAUAGGAAUUUACUAUUAGUCUAAUUUUGAGCAAAUGCAAUUCUAUAACACUCGAUGAAUUUAGCUAGAAGUUGAGAACAUCUAGAAGAAGAAUUCCCUGAAAAAGGAAAUCAAAACUUUUUCAUCUAAGGCAAAAGCAGAACCACGUUCUUUGCUCUGAUUAACCAUGGCAAAACUUUAUGAGAGGAUAUUGACAUUGUGACUAUGCAAUGCUUUUUAAUUGUUCAUUUGUGUGUAAAAUGUGCAUCGUAACCCUUCCAUUCAUAGACAUUAGCCAGGACAUUGUAAAAGGAAAAUGGAUAACACCUCUUUAAUUGGAGAAACACAGAUUACUAUGCCACUUAGCUUUUCUUUUCUUGUGUUUUUCCCCCUUCCAUUCUUAUCAAUCAAUUCCUUUUCUCACAAAACAUCGCCUGAAAUCUUCUUCCAUUUUUUCCCCCUUAUUGCUCUGUUUUUUUUGGUUAAUUCAUAUUUGUAUAUAUUACGUCAGGUAUAUUAAUGAGUUCUCUCUGUUAAACAGGCUCAAAUGCAGUUAUAUGUGCAAAAAUAGACAAUGAUGGACAAGUUGCAAGUAUGCCACCACCGGAACAAAUGAUGUGCGGCGUCAUUUGGGGAGUAGUGAUAUAUAUAAGGAAGCUAAAGAUUUCACAGCAGAAGGUUCGAACAUCAUAUGAUGGGAACAACUUUUGAAGCUGGUUAUCACUUAUCUCAACUUGUUUUGGCACAUACUGUUGUAUGCGUGAAGUAUUUAUGAUUCUUGGUCAUUGUAUUACAAGUUUGAUGAAGAACAAUAUGGUACUAGAUUGCAAAGGAAUAUUGUGGCAUGCAGAGAACUGUCUUUCUACAAAGUUAAAGCAUGGCGCCAAGAGUGUCGAUGUUGCACAUCAAAAUGUCUUCUCAAGGAAAAUCAUGUUUGCCAAGUCUAGCCGUAGUUUGAAAGACAAAAUAUUAGUAGGUCAUUUGGUUUCGUGAAAUUCUCAACAAAUAUGUCAUAAGAAGACAAUACAAGAUCCGUGUGUAUGGUUAUGACAAUCUCAUCUUUAGAGUUGAAUACACUGUUUCUGAAUCAUCCUUGG